AGAGUCAUGGAGCAAGUUUUAUGGGCAUCUUAGGAGGUGAACCACUUAGGAAUUUGAUAUAAUCAGUUGAAUUAAUAAAUCUCGCUUUUUUCGCUGUAUAUAAUAUCUAUUAUCACUAUUGUAGAUAAUUAAGUUUUCUCCAACUUUUUUUUUUAUUAUAGUUUGAAUCAUUUUAAGAUAGAGCUGUUAAAGGAUAAUCUAAUCUAAUACUAAAGUCAAUCGGUAUAUUCUGGUGGAAAAGAUGCAAACUAAGUUAUAAAGUUUUGACAAAUGAAUUAAUUAUCAAUAAUAUUCUUUGAUAUCAAAUAUUACAUUAUACAUACUUUUAUACUGUCGUAUCAUCGUCGUCAAACUGUUAUUUCAAGUCUUCUCUGUCAACUUGACCGACAUUUAUCUCCAUGUCUUAUAAUAUCGGGGUCAAAGUUUCUGCUUUCAUUUGCAUCUGGUAAAGAUUUGAGAUGAGUUUGCUCUCUAAUAACUCUGGUCACAAGCCGAAAAAAAAACAAAACCCCGAUUUCCUGCACUCACAGCUUGAACUAUAACACCCAUCUUGCAGGUUUAAAAAAAUUGUGAUGAGAAAUUAAAGUAGUCGUGGUAGUUUCCAGGACACUGUUACAAAUUGUCCAACCGUUCUGCAGAGGUUGCAAAUUAUACCUAAACCAAUUUUGAACUCCAUAAUAAGCACGAUUUUCAGAAUCAUUGUUUUAUUUUUUUCAAAACAAGAGAAGACAUGUGAGACAGCCACUAAAUCUAUUCAGAAACAAAAAAUGUUUCUUUGCAAACACCUACCUAUUGAAGCUUUUGGAAGAGUAGGUUUCAGUUUAUUGAUUGCCGUUUCUAUAAUUAGUAAAUCCGCAUCAUCUCUUACUUGUUCGUAAGUAAUAUUGAUGGGUUGUAAUUUUGAAUUAGUAUAUUAGUGACCUUUUUUGUAGAAACAAAAAAAUUGUGACCUUUGCCUUCAAAUGUUCACGCGGGGGCGAGUUACCAUGUUGUUUGUAAGUUUUGAGAAAACGUUUAAAA